AGAACGAACGCUGGCGGCAUGCCUAACACAUGCAAGUCGAACGAGACCUUCGGGUCUAGUGGCGCACGGGUGCGUAACGCGUGGGAAUCUGCCCUUAGGUACGGAAUAACAGUGAGAAAUUACUGCUAAUACCGUAUGAUGUCUUCGGACCAAAGAUUUAUCGCCUAGGGAUGAGCCCGCGUAGGAUUAGCUAGUUGGUGGGGUAAAGGCCUACCAAGGCGACGAUCCUUAGCUGGUCUGAGAGGAUGAUCAGCCACACUGGGACUGAGACACGGCCCAGACUCCUACGGGAGGCAGCAGUGGGGAAUAUUGGACAAUGGGCGAAAGCCUGAUCCAGCAAUGCCGCGUGAGUGAAGAAGGCCUUAGGGUUGUAAAGCUCUUUUACCCGGGAAGAUAAUGACUGUACCGGGAGAAUAAGCCCCGGCUAACUCCGUGCCAGCAGCCGC
rnacentral:rRNA from 1 species